AGAACACUAUAGUUAAUAACUGCAGUUUGAGGAGCUGUGGAGAUGGCAUAACAGAUGCGAUGUGACCUUCAGUGUGACCUGCUGUCGUAUCUUCUCCACCGUAAUGAACUGCACCUUGAACUGGAGCCAAAAUAAUUCUCCCCUCCUGUAAGUUGCUUUUGUCAGAGUGAUGAGACAAGUUACUGACCAAGAAAAUCUGACUGUCUGGCUUUCAGAGUUACAUCUUGUGUAACAACAGGUGACAAUGCUAAUAAAAAUAUCAUUAACUAAGAUUU